CGGCGGACGGGUGAGUAACACGUGGAUAACCUACCUAUAAGACUGGGAUAACUUCGGGAAACCGGAGCUAAUACCGGAUAAUAUAUUGAACCGCAUGGUUCAAUAGUAGAAAGACGGUUUUGCUGUCACUUAUAGAUGGAUCCGCGCCGCAUUAGCUAGUUGGUAAGGUAACGGCUUACCAAGGCAACGAUGCGUAGCCGACCUGAGAGGGUGAUCGGCCACACUGGAACUGAGACACGGUCCAG
rnacentral:rRNA from 1 species